rnacentral:rRNA from 1 species
CCUACGGGAGGCAGCAGUGAGGAAUAUUGGUCAAUGGACGAGAGUCUGAACCAGCCAAGUAGCGUGAAGGAUGACUGCCCUCUGGGUUGUAAACUUCUUUUAUAUGGGAAUAAAACGUUCCACGUGUGGGAUUUUGUAUGUACCAUAUGAAUAAGGAUCGGCUAACUCCGUGCCAGCAGCCGCGGUAAUACGGAGGAUCCGAGCGUUAUCCGGAUUUAUUGGGUUUAAAGGGAGCGUAGGUGGAUUGUUAAGUCAGUUGUGAAAGUUUGCGGCUCAACCGUAAAAUUGCAGUUGAAACUGGCAGUCUUGAGUACAGUAGAGGUGGGCGGAAUUCGUGGUGUAGCGGUGAAAUGCUUAGAUAUCACGAAGAACUCCGAUGGCGAAGGCAGUUCACUGGACUGCAACUGACACUGAGGCUCGAAAGUGUGGGUAUCAAACAGGAUUAGAUACCCUAGUAGUC